UCAAGCGAAGAAGAGCACAUGGAGAAUGCCUUGGCAUUAGGAGCCGAAGAAGGACGUGACAAGCUGCGAUAAGCUGCGGGAAGGUGCAAAUGACUAUAGAUCCGCAGAUUUCCGAAUGGGGAAACCCGGCAAAGCAAUACUUUGUCAGCAUAUACUGAAUAAAUAGGUAUAUGUGGGGAGACCCGCUGAACUGAAACAUCUAAGUAGGCGGAGGAAGAGAAAUCAAAAGAGAUUUUCUGAGUAGCGGCGAGCGAAAGGGAAAGAGGCCAAACCGAUGGUAGUAAUACUGUCGGGGUUGAGGACUGCGAAACGCAUUCGGAGUUGAUAGUAGAAUUGACUGGGAAGUCAAGCCAAAGAGGGUAAGAGCCCCGUAAACGAAAUUGACGAAGAGCGAGCAGGAUCCAGAGUACUGCCGGACACGAGAAACCCGGUGGGAAGCAGGGUAGACCACUAUCCAAGCCUAAAUACUACCUAAUGACCGAUAGAGAAGCAGUACCGUGAGGGAAAGGUGAAAAGAACCCCGGGAGGGGAGUGAAAGAGAACCUGAAACCGUGUGCUUACAAGCAGUCGGAGCACGUUAAAGUGUGACGGCGUACUUUUUGUAGAACGGUCCGGCGAGUGUAUGUAUGUAGCAAGGUUAAGAGCUUAAGGUUCGAAGCCGCAGGGAGACCGAGUCUGAAUAGGGCGAAAGAGUUGCAUGUAUACGACCCGAAACCGAGUGACCUACCCAUGGACAGGUUGAAGCUAGAGUAAAAUCUGGUGGAGGACCGAACCCACGUAUGUUGAAAAAUGCGGGGAUGAGCUGUGGGUAGCGGAGAAAUUCCAAUCGAACUCGGAUAUAGCUGGUUCUCCCCGAAAUAGCUUUAGGGCUAGCCUCGGAUUAGUUUAGCGGAGGUAAAGCACUGAAUGGGCUAGGGGGCGUAUAGCUUACUGAACCCUAUCAAACUCAGAAUGCCGCAAAAAUGAUGUCCGGGAGUCAGACUACGGGAGAUAAGUUUCGUGGUCGAAAGGGAAACAGCCCAGACCCACAGCUAAGGUCCCAAAAUAGGUUUAAGUGGAAAAGGAUGUCUAGUUGCAGAGACAACUAGGACGUUGGCUUAGAAGCAGCCAUACAUUUAAAGAGUGCGUAAUAGCUCACUAGUCGAGUGAAUAGGCGCCGAAAAUUUAACGGGGCUAAAACCUAUACCGAAGCUUGGGAAUGUAACUUAGGUUACAUUGGUAGGGGAGCAUUCUAUUAUAGGGAGAAGCAUGACCGGAAGGACAUGUGGACGAGAUAGAAGAGAGAAUGCCGGAAUGAGUAGCGAGAAUUAUGUGAGAAUCAUAAUGGUCGAAAACCUAAGGUUUCUUGAGGAAGGUUCGUCCGCUCAAGGUAAGCCGGGAGCUAAGGCGAGGCCGAAAGGCGUAGUCGAUGCACAUACGGUAGAAAUUCCGUAGCCACCGAAAUUGUUAAGCACAGGGACGCAGGAACAUAAUCCAACCGCACCGAUGGUCGAGUGCGGCGAAAGGGAGCGAAAAUUAAGUAGCGAAGUGGAUGAUUGUACACUGACGAGAAAAGCUGUGUGUAUUGAUGAGGUGCCCGUACCGUAAACCGACACAGGUGGGUGAGGAGAGAAUCCUAAGACCAGCGGGAGAAGUGUUGUUAAGGAACUCGGCAAAUUGACCCCGUAACUUCGGGAAAAGGGGUGCCUGCUAGCGCAGGCCGCAGAGAAUAGGCCCAAGCGACUGUUUAGCAAAAACACAGGUCUCUGCUAAAUCGAAAGAUGAAGUAUAGGGGCUGACGCCUGCCCGGUGCCGGAAGGUUAAGAGGAGGACUUAGCGCAAGCGAAGGUCUGAAUUGAAGCCCCGGUAAACGGCGGCCGUAACUAUAACGGUCCUAAGGUAGCGAAAUUCCUUGUCAGGUAAGUUCU
rnacentral:rRNA from 1 species